AAAACACUGCAGAGAUAAGUGGCGUGCUUUGAACAUGAAAACCUUUCGACGGAGUCUUUUGCAAUGAAAACUACGUUGCAGGGCUAUUGUCAAAUGCA